GGGGUUGUAGCUCAGUGGUUGAGCACCUGCCUCAAAUGUGUGAGGCACUGAGUUCGAUCCUCAGCACCA
rfam:Ictidomys tridecemlineatus contig002970, whole genome shotgun sequence.